CGCACAUUGCACCCUCUGGUAAUCCGGGGGGUAUGCCCGUUCGAGCGUCAUUACACCACUCAAGUAUAACUUGGUUUUGGGAAUUUACACAAGUAAUUCCUUAAUUAUUCGGCUUGACAAUUAAAUGUCUUUUUGCGUGAAAGUAAGAACACAAAUAAUUGAAGCUGCCGUUAAACACUUUUUUUACAAGGUUGACCUCGAAUCGGGUAGGGAUACCCGCUGAACUUAA
rnacentral:misc_RNA from 1 species